UCUUCAGUAGUAUAGUGGUCAGUAUUUCCGCUUGUCACCUUCACAGGCAACGCGCGGGAGACCGGGGUUCAAUUCCCCGCUGGAGAG